UAGGGAAUCUUCCACAAUGGACGCAAGUCUGAUGGAGCAACGCCGCGUGAGUGAAGAAGGUCUUCGGAUCGUAAAACUCUGUUGUUAGAGAAGAACACGAGUGAGAGUAACUGUUCAUUCGAUGACGGUAUCUAACCAGCAAGUCACGGCUAACUACGUGCCCAAG
rnacentral:rRNA from 1 species